rnacentral:tRNA from 1 species
GGGGCUGUAGCUCAGUGAUAGAGCACUUGCCUACCAUGCAGGAGGCACUGGGUUCAAUCCACAGCACCA